AUUGAACGCUGGCGGCAGGCUUAACACAUGCAAGUCGAACGAGUGGCGGACGGGUGAGUAAUGCUUGGGAAACUGGCUGAUGGAGGGGGAUAACGACGGGAAACUGUCGCUAAUACCGCAUACCAUAGGAUGAGCCCAAGUGGGAUUAGGUAGUGGGUGGGGUAAUGGCCUACCAAGCCGACGAUCCCUAGCUGGUCUGAGAGGAUGACCAGCCACACUGGUACUGAGACACGGUCCGGACUCCUACGGGAGGCAGCAGUGGGGAAUAUUGCGCAAUGGGGGCAACCUGAUGCAGCCAUGCCGCGUGUAUGAAGAAGGCCUUCGGGUUGUAAAGUUCUUUCGGUGACGAGGCGUUAAUCACAGAAGAAGCACCGGCUAACUCCGUGCCAGCAGCCGCGGUAAUUC
rnacentral:rRNA from 1 species